rnacentral:tRNA from 1 species
GCCGCGGUGGCCUAGUGGUUAUGGUGUUCGACUGCUGAACCGAAGGUCGCGGGAUCGAAUCCCGGCCGCGGCG